rnacentral:tRNA from 1 species
CAGGGUGUAGCUCAGUGGUAGAGCACUUGCCUAGCAUGCACAAGACUGGAUUUAAUUCCUAGCACCAUAA